rnacentral:rRNA from 1 species
GAUGAACGCUGGCGGCGUGCCUAAUACAUGCCAGUCGAGCGAACGGACGAGAAGCUUGCUUCUCUGAUGUUAGCGGCGGACGGGUGAGUAACACGUGGAUAACCUACCUAUAAGACUGGGAUAACUUCGGGAAACCGUAGCUAAUACCGGAUAAUAUUUUGAACCGCAUGGUUCAAAAGUGAAAGACGGUCUUGCUGUCACUUCUAGAUGGAUCCGCGCUGCAUUAGCUAGUUGGUAAGGUAACGGCUUACCAAGGCAACGAUGCAUAGCCGACCUGAGAGAGUGAUCGGCCACACUGGAACUGAGACGGGGUCCAGAGUCCUACGGGAGGCAGCAGUAGGGAAUCGUCCGCAAUGGGCGAAAACCUGACGGAGCAACGGCGCGUGAGUGAUGAAGGUCUUCGGAUCGUAAAACUCUGUUAUUAGGGAAGAACAUAUGUGUAAGGAACUGUGCACAUCUUGACGGUACCUAAUCAGAAAGCCACGGCUAACUACGUG